CAUUCUUAAGCAGCUCGAUAGGAAAGUACUCGCACAGAAUUCAUCUUUUCUUAGCACUCAUGGAUGGCGGCCAUGGCUUCAAUGAUGAUGAAAGCACCCGCAGCCCUUAACUGCGGGGCAGUCAAAAGGAAUAGUGUGGGUCAUAUCAGUAGAUUGCCCAACAGUCAAGUGCAAGGCUGCAAAGGAUCCAAAGGAAACGUCCUCUACUGAAGGCGUUUCUCCUUCAAGCUCUACCAAGGUGAGCACGAAAUUGGCCUGCGCCGGAGAUCAUCAAUGGAAGAGCGGCUAUGUUGGGGUUCGUGUCGGCCAUUGCAGUGGAGGUGGCCAGCGGAAGAGAUUUGUUGUCGCAGUUGAAUAGUGGAGGACUGUCCUGGUUUGCGUUAACUGCAGGAUUAAUGACGGUAGGGACACUGGCGCCCCUGUAAAUAUUUUCAUCCACAGCAGAAAUGUGGAAUGGGCGCUUUGCUAUGCUCGGCCUACUCGCAUUGGCUUUCACUGACCGCUUGUAUAAACACCUUAAUAUCUAUUUCUAUUCAAGCACAAGCUCCAAUAUUGGAGGCAUUCUCAUGACAUUACAUGUUCCAGUGGAGUUUUCUUGUACUGUUUAGCUUGUGAUACAGUUCAAUUAUACAAAACGUUGUAAAAAAUUCAGUCUUAUACUAUAAAGAAAGUUUGAGUUCAACUACUAGGGCGCGUAACUAUUUUUUGAAAGCUUGUUAAA